UAGCUAGUUGGUGAGGUAACGGCUUACCAAGGCGACGAUCUGUAGCGGGUCUGAGAGGAUGAUCCGCCACACUGGAACUGAGACACGGUCCAGACUCCUACGGGAGGCAGCAGUGGGGAAUUUUGGACAUGGGGGCAACCCUGAUCCAGCCAUGCCGCGUGAGUGAAGAAGGCCUUCGGGUUGUAAAGCUCUUUCGGCCGGGAAGAAAUCGCAUGGGCCAAUACCCUGUGUGGAUGACGGUACCGGAAUAAGAAGCACCGGCUAACUACGUGCCAGCAGCCGCGGUAAUACGUAGGGUGCGAGCGUUAAUCGGAAUUACUGGGCGUAAAGCGUGCGCAGGCGGUUUUGUAAGACAGGCGUGAAAUCCCCGGGCUCAACCUGGGAACUGCGUUUGUGACUGCAAGGCUAGAGUACGGCAGAGGGGGGUGGAAUUCCACGUGUAGCAGUGAAAUGCGUAGAGAUGUGGAGGAACACCAAUGGCGAAGGCAGCCCCCUGGGUCGAUACUGACGCUCAUGCACGAAAGCGUGGGUAGCAAACAGGAUUAGAUACCCUGGUAGUCCACGCCCUAAACUAUGUCAACUAGGUGUUGGGCGGGUAAAACCAUUUAGUACCGUAGCUAACGCGUGAAGUUGACCGCCUGGGGAGUACGGCCGCAAGGUUAAAACUCAAAGGAAUUGACGGGGACCCGCACAAGCGGUGGAUGAUGUGGAUUAACUCGAUGCAACGCGAAAAACCUUACCUACCCUUGACAUGCCAGGAACUUGCCAGAGAUGGCUUGGUGCCCGAAAGGGAGCCUGGACACAGGUGCUGCAUGGCUGUCGUCAGCUCGUGUCGUGAGAUGUUGGGUUAAGUCCCGCAACGAGCGCAACCCUUGUCGUUAAUUGCCAUCAUUUAGUUGGGCACUUUAGCGAGACUGCCGGUGACAAACCGGAGGAAGGUGGGGAUGACGUCAAGUCCUCAUGGCCCUUAUGGGUAGGGCUUCACACGUCAUACAAUGGUCGGUACAGAGGGUCGCCAAGCCGCGAGGUGGAGCCAAUCCCAGAAAGCCGAUCGUAGUCCGGAUUGCAGGCUGCAACUCGCCUGCAUGAAGUCGGAAUCGCUAGUAAUCGUGGAUCAGCAUGUCACGGUGAAUACGUUCCCGGGUCUUGUACACACCGCCCGUCACACCAUGGGAGCGGGUUCCGCCAGAAGUAGGUAGCCUAACCGCAAGGAGGGCGCUUACCACGGCGGGGUUCGUGACUGGGGUGAAGUCGUAACAAGGUAGCCGUAGGGGAACCUGCGGCUG
rnacentral:rRNA from 1 species